GAUGAACGCUGGCGGCGUGCCUAAUACAUGCAAGUCGAGCGAACAGACGAGGAGCUUGCUCCUCUGUCGUUAGCGGCGGACGGGUGAGUAACACGUGGAUAACCUACCUAUAAGACUGGGAUAACUUCGGGAAACCGGAGCUAAUACCGGAUAAUAUAUUGAACCGCAUGGUUCAAUAGUGAAAGACGGUUUUGCUGUCACUUAUAGAUGGAUCCGCGCCGCAUUAGCUAGUUGGUAAGGUAACGGCUUACCAAGGCAACGAUGCGUAGCCGACCUGAGAGGGUGAUCGGCCACACUGGAACUGAGACACGGUCCAGACUCCUACGGGAGGCAGCAGUAGGGAAUCUUCCGCAAUGGGCGAAAGCCUGACGGAGCAACGCCGCGUGAGUGAUGAAGGUCUUCGGAUCGUAAAACUCUGUUAUUAGGGAAGAACAAAUGUGUAAGUAACUAUGCACGUCUUGACGGUACCUAAUCAGAAAGCCACGGCUAACUACGUG
rnacentral:rRNA from 1 species